rnacentral:tRNA from 1 species
GGUAGUGUAGCUGAAGUGGUAUAGCACUUGUCUAGCAUGUAUGAGGAGGCCCUGCGUUCAAUUCCCAGUACUGCCA